AUUAUACCGUGAAACUGCGAAUGGCUCAUUAAAUCAGUUAUCGUUUAUUUGAUAGUACCUUACUACUUGGAUAACCGUGGUAAUUCUAGAGCUAAUACAUGCUGAAAACCCCAACUUCGGGAGGGGUGUAUUUAUUAGAUAAAAAACCAACGCCCUUCGGGGCUUCUUGGUGAUUCAUGAUAACUUUACGGAUCGCAUGGCCUUGCGCCGGCGACGGUUCAUUCAAAUUUCUGCCCUAUCAACUUUCGAUGGUAAGGUAUUGGCUUACCAUGGUUUCAACGGGUAACGGGGAAUUAGGGUUCGAUUCCGGAGAGGGAGCCUGAGAAACGGCUACCACAUCCAAGGAAGGCAGCAGGCGCGCAAAUUACCCAAUCCCGACACGGGGAGGUAGUGACAAUAAAUACUGAUACAGGGCUCUUUUGGGUCUUGUAAUUGGAAUGAGUMCAAUUUAAACCUYUUAACGAGGAACAAUUGGAGGGCAAGUCUGGUGGACAUUCAGCUCCCAUUUCGUUGCUGACGCCAGAGAUAGUCGGGCACUCCUUGGGGUGUUAUGCCGGCUAGUCGAUGUACCCACUGACAUGAUGGGCGGGUACCGGCAAGACAACCUGGAUCGGGGAAGGCUAAGGCGUUGUGAGACGCUAUGCUAAUCCCGAGCAGAGCCCCUACAGAGCGAUCUGUAGCAUGGCCUGUGUAGAGCACGCUAAGGUGUCGGCCAACUCUUGUAGUUGGCUUAAGGGACGUGCCAUUCCCAUUCGAAAGAUUGGCUAUCAGCAAUAGCGCCCAUCACGCGAAGGCUGAUAGGUUCAGAGAGUAGCGGGUUCUGAACGAACUUAUAGGCCAGCAGCCGCGGUAAUUCCAGCUCCAAUAGCGUAUAUUAAAGUUGUUGCAGUUAAAAAGCUCGUAGUUGAACCUUGGGUCUGGCUGGCAGGUCCGCCUCACCGCGUGUACUUGUCCGGCCGGGCCUUCCUUCUGGAGAACCUCAUGCCCUUCACUGGGCGUGUUGGGGACCAGGACUUUUACUUUGAAAAAAUUAGAGUGUUCAAAGCAGGCCUUUGCUCGAAUACGUUAGCAUGGAAUAAUAGAAUAGGACGUGCGGUCCUAUUUUGUUGGUUUCUAGGACCGCCGUAAUGAUUAAUAGGGACAGUCGGGGGCAUCAGUAUUCAAUUGUCAGAGGUGAAAUUCUUGGAUUUAUUGAAGACUAACUACUGCGAAAGCAUUUGCCAAGGAUGUUUUCAUUAAUCAGUGAACGAAAGUUAGGGGAUCGAAGACGAUCAGAUACCGUCGUAGUCUUAACCGUAAACUAUGCCGACUAGGGAUCGGGCGAUGUUCUUUUUCUGACUCGCUCGGCACCUUACGAGAAAUCAAAGUUUU
rnacentral:rRNA from 2 species